rnacentral:rRNA from 1 species
UACGAAGGGGGCUAGCGUUGUUCGGAAUCACUGGGCGUAAAGCGCACGCAGGCGGAUUGAUAAGUCGGGGGUGAAAUCCCGGGGCUCAACCUCGGAACUGCCUUUGAUACUGCAAAUCUUGAGUCCGGAAGAGGUGAGUGGAAUUCCUAGUGUAGAGGUGAAAUUCGUAGAUAUUAGGAAGAACACCAGUGGCGAAGGCGGCUCACUGGUCCGGUACUGACGCUGAGGUGCGAAAGCGUGGGGAGCGAUCCGG